GGGGGAGAGGGGUGGGUGUCUCAUUCUCUCUCUAAUCUUGUACUUUCUUUGGAGGUCUCACUUUCGCAUGUCCAACCCCAAGGAGGCACAGGAAAGAAGAAUGAGAAACAAUGAACAAGAAAGAAAAAGAAGCAAGGAAGAACAAGAAGAUGAACAAUAAGAGGAAGAAGUUGUCAGCUCAAAAAAACAACUUUCUUUUCUUCCUUCAUUUUUUUUGUCUUCUUUUCUUAUGAAUGUCCCACGUUCUUAUCUUCUCAUCUCUUCCCUUUCUCUUCUCAUCACCAUAUGCAUUGAGGAAGACUCUCAGAAUCUUUAUGAGAAAUUGCCCCUCUUUGCUUCUAUUCCAUAUAUGUAUGUGUUAUUCAUGAUUGUUUUCCUUUUA